UCAGGAUGAACGCUGGCGGCGCGCUUAACACAUGCAAGUCGAACGGUUAAGGCACCCUCGGGUGCGAAUAGAGUGGCGAACGGCUGAGUAACACGUGGGCAACCUGCCCCCCGCACCGGGAUAGCCUCGGGAAACCGUGGGUAAUACCCGGAUACUCCGGGACCUCCGCAUGGCGGUCCCGGGAAAGCAAUGCACGGCGGGGGAUGGGCCCGCGGCCUGUUAGCUCGUUGGCGGGGUAACGGCCCACCAAGGCGAUUAUGGGUAGCCGGGUUGAGAGACCGACCGGCCAGAUUGGGACUGAGACACGGCCCAGACUCCUACGGGAGGCAGCAGUGGGGAAUCUUGCACAAUGGGCGAAAGCCUGAUGCAGCGACGCCGCGUACGGGAAGAAGGCAUUCGUGUUGUAAACCGCUUUCAGCAGGGACGAGGCGCAAGUGACGGUACCUGCAGAAGAAGCCCCGGCUAACUACGUGCCAGCCGCGGC
rnacentral:rRNA from 1 species